GACGAACGCUGGCGGCGUGCUUAACACAUGCAAGUCGAACGGAAAGGCCCUGCUUUUGUGGGGUGCUCGAGUGGCGAACGGGUGAGUAACACGUGAGUAACCUGCCCUUGACUUUGGGAUAACUUCAGGAAACUGGGGCUAAUACCGGAUAGGAGCUCCUGCUGCAUGGUGGGGGUUGGAAAGUUUCGGCGGUUGGGGAUGGACUCGCGGCUUAUCAGCUUGUUGGUGGGGUAGUGGCUUACCAAGGCUUUGACGGGUAGCCGGCCUGAGAGGGUGACCGGCCACAUUGGGACUGAGAUACGGCCCAGACUCCUACGGGAGGAAGCAGUGGGGAAUAUUGCCCAAUGGGCGGAAGCCGGAUGCGGCAACGCCGCGUGCGGGAUGACGGCCUUCGGUUUGUAAACCGCUUUCGCCUGUGACGAAGCGUGAGUGACGGUAAUGGGUAAAGAAGCACCGGCUAACUACGUG
rnacentral:rRNA from 1 species